UCCUACGGGAGGCAGCAGUUGUAACCUUGGGGCCGUGGGCGCCAGCCUGAUGCAGCGACGCCGCGUGAGGGAUGAAGGCCUUCGGGUUGUAAACCUCUUUCAGCAGGGAAGAAGCGAAAGUGACGGUACCUGCAGAAGAAGCGCCGGCUAACUACGUGCCAGCAGCCGCGGUAAUACGUAGGGCGCAAGCGUUGUCCGGAAUUAUUGGGCGUAAAGAGCUCGUAGGCGGUUUGUCGCGUCUGCUGUGAAAGCCCGGGGCUCAACCCCGGGUCUGCAGUGGGUACGGGCAGACUAGAGUGCAGUAGGGGAGACUGGAAUUCCUGGUGUAGCGGUGAAAUGCGCAGAUAUCAGGAGGAACACCGAUGGCGAAGGCAGGUCUCUGGGCUGUAACUGACGCUGAGGAGCGAAAGCAUGGGGAGCGAACAGGAUUAGAUACCCUGGUAGUCCAUGCCGUAAACGUUGGGCACUAGGUGUGGGGGACAUUCCACGUUUUCCGCGCCGUAGCUAACGCAUUAAGUGCCCCGCCUGGGGAGUACGGCCGCAAGGCUAAAACUCAAAGAA
rnacentral:rRNA from 1 species